rnacentral:rRNA from 1 species
AGCGAACGCUGGCGGCAGGCCUAACACAUGCAAGUCGAACGAACCUUUCGGGGUUAGUGGCGGACGGGUGAGUAACACGUGGGAACGUGCCUUUAGGUUCGGAAUAACUCAGGGAAAAUUGUGCUAAUACCGAAUGUGCCCUUCGGGGGAAAGAUUUAUCGCCUUUAGAGCGGCCCGCGUCUGAUUAGCUAGUUGGUUGAGGUAAUGGCUCACCAAGGCGACGAUCAGUAGCUGGUCUGAGAGGAUGAUCAGCCACAUUGGGACUGAGACACGGCCCAAACUCCUACGGGAGGCAGCAGUGGGGAAUCUUGCGCAAUGGGCGAAAGCCUGACGCAGCCAUGCCGCGUGAAUGAUGAAGGUCUUAGGAUUGUAAAAUUCUUUCACCGGGGACGAUAAUGACGGUACCCGGAGAAGAAGCCCCGGCUAACUUCGUG